GAUCCUGGCUCAGAAUCAACGCUGGCGGCGUGCCUCAGACAUGCAAGUCGAACGAUUAAAGCUUCCUUCGGGAAGUGCAUAAAGUGGCGCACGGGUGAGUAACACGUAAGUAAUCUACCCUCGAGUGGGGAAUAACGUUCGGAAACGGACGCUAAUACCGCAUAAUGCAGCGGCACCGCAAGGUGACAGUUGUUAAAGAUUUAUUGCUUGAGGAGGAGCUUGCGGCAGAUUAGCUAGUUGGUAAGGUAAUGGCUUACCAAGGCUACGAUCUGUAUCCGGUCUAAGAGGACGGUCGGACACACUGACACUGAAUAACGGGUCAGACUCCUACGGGAGGCAGCAGUCGGGAAUUUUGGGCAAUGGGGGAAACCCUGACCCAGCAACGCCGCGUGAAGGAUGAAGUAUUUCGGUAUGUAAACUUCGAAAGAAUAGGAAGAAUUAAUGACGGUACUAUUUAUAAGGUCCGGCUAACUACGUGCCAGCAGCCGCGGUAAUACGUAGGGACCAAGCGUUGUUCGGAUUUACUGGGCGUAAAGGGCGCGUAGGCGGCGCGGUAAGUCACUUGUGAAAUCUCUGAGCUUAACUCAGAACGGCCAAGUGAUACUGCAGUGCUAGAGUGUGGAAGGGGCAAUCGGAAUUCUUGGUGUAGCGGUGAAAUGCGUAGAUAUCAAGAGGAACACCUGAGGUGAA
rnacentral:rRNA from 1 species